UCCCGCCGGACCCCACUGCUAUCGGACGGGACUAGACAUGCUAGUUGAGCGCUCCAGCCAUGUGGGAGGCGCAGCGCUCAGCUCAGUAACACGUGGCUACCUGCCCUUGGGACGAGAAAAACCCCGGGAAACUGGGGAUAAUCCUCGAUAGGUGAAGAACUCUGGAAUGAGUCUUUGCUUAAAAGGCGUUGGAUCAUGCUUUCAGCGUCGCCCAAGGAUGGGGCCGCGACCGAUCAGGUUGUUGGUGAGGUAAUGGCCCACCAAGCCUUUUACCGGUGCGGGCCGUGAGAGCGGGAGCCCGGAGAUGGGCACUGAGACAAGGGCCCAGGUCCUACGGGGCGCAGCAGUCGCGAAAACUUUGCAAUACACGAAAGUGUGACAGGGUCAUCCCGAGUGCCGACCGCUGAGGUUGGCUUUUACCCAGUCUAGAACGCUGGGGGAAUAAGGAGAGGGCAAGUCUGGUGUCAGCCGCCGCGGUAAUACCAGCUCUCCGAGUGGUGUGGAUGUUUAUUGGGCCUAAAGCAUCCGUAGCUGGCUGAGUUAGUCCCUUGUUAAAUCCACCGAAUUAAUCGUUGGAUUGCGGGGGAUACUGCUCGGCUAGGGGACGAGAGAGGCAGACGGUAUUUCUGGGGUAGGGGUGAGAUCCUAUAAUCCCAGGAGGACCACCAGUGGCGAAGGCUGUCUGCUAGAACGCGCCCGACGGUGAGGGAUGAAAGCUGGGGGAGCGAACCGGAUUAGAUACCCGGGUAGUCCCAGCUGUAAACGAUGCAGACUAGGUGUUUGGACGGCCACGUGCCGUUCUAGUGCCGCAGGGAAGCUGUUAAGUCUGCCGCCUGGGGAGUACGAUCGCAAGAUUGAAACUUAAAGGAAU
rnacentral:rRNA from 1 species